UGUCAUCUUUCUAAGCAUGCAUAUUUUUAA
rnacentral:piRNA from 1 species